rnacentral:lncRNA from 10 species
AAGAAAGAUGUAAAGUAAUUGUCUCCAAGAGUGGGAAAGUUAACGUUACUAGAUAAACAUGGUAGGCUUGUUAGGUAUGUUGAGUGCCCACUUGAGCACCGUGGUCAUGCUUGUUUUCCUCCAGCCAUAUUUAGUGCUCAGGUACAGCUGUAGCUUGGGUAAAGAACCGGGAAAGAGGAACAAUGGAGUUAAGGGGAGUAUCCAAGAGUAUGACUGCUGUCUAAACUGCGCAAGGAGGGAUAGGAGGACUUGCGAGGGCAGGGAUGGUGUAUGGUGAAAAAGUGAUAGGGUCAAUGGACUGGAGGUUCUAGUGGUCUCAGUGAGUCAAAGAACUAUUGGUGUCUGGGGUACUAGAGUGAGUGAAUUAGAGAGAGAGAGAGGGCUUGAUGGUUAGUGAGAGGCUCGAAAUCAAGAUUUUACAGGUAGUUUGGUUAUUGGAGAUGGCAGACUCUAAGAGAAAGUGGGUGGAUUAAGUGAUGUAGAUGAGAAGAUUAUUGGAAGUGAAGACUUCAAGGGACAGAGACGCUAGGAUGCAGGGUGAAUUGUCUUCGCUAUGAGUGGAAAAGUUGUCAAGAACAAUGACAAGCAUCAACGAUUAAAAGGAAGAUAGAAAUGGCUUUUAUCCAAAAGACAGACAAUAACAAUUUCUGGCAAGGAUGUGGAGAAAAGGGAACCCUCAUACACUGCUGGUAGGAAUGUAAAUUAGUGUAACCACUAUGGAGAACAGUUUGGAGGUUUCCCAAAAAACUAAAAUUAGAGCUACUAUAUGAUCCAACAAUCUCAUUCUGAGGUAUAUAACCCAAAAGAAAAGAAAUCAGGAUAUAGAAGAGAUAUCUGCACUCCCAUGUAUAUUGCAGCACCAUUCAUAAUAGCCAAUAUUUGGAAGCAACUUAAGUGUCCAUCAACAGAUGAAUGAAUAAAGAAAAUGUGGUACAUACGCACAAUGGAGUACUAUUCAGCCAUAAAAAACUGAGAUCCUGUCAUUUGCAACAAUAUAGUUGGAUCUAAUAACCUGACGUUUCUUUUCUUUUCUUUUUUUUCUUUUUUCUUUUUUUUUUUGAGACGGAGUCACGCUCUGUCGCCCAGGUUGGAGUGCAGUGGCGCGAUCUCGGCUCAUUGCAACCUCCGCCUCCCGGUAAUAACCAGACAUUUCUUGAUGACCACAACAAGGAGGAGUGGGGGGUUGUGUCCUCUGAUGGAAUUCAGAUAAGAUGUGUUCCCCAGGCCAGCAGUCCUUCAUGCUGCUUGUCAUAAGGAGAAAAGAAUAUGGAGAGAGCAGCAUAGAUGCAAAUCAGCCUUUACUCGUUGGAAGACCAUUGCUGGCAGGAACCUAACUGAAACAGAGCCAACAGCUUAUGAAAAACAACCAGCCAGCAGCUUCUUCCCAACCAACUCAACAGCAAACCUGUAGCAUUGUGUGGCCAGGUGCCAUGGCUCACGCCUGUAAUCCCAGCACUUUUGGAGGCUGAGGCAGGAGGUUCGCUUGAGUCCAGGAGUUCAAGACCUAUAGCAUUGUGUAUUUUGCUUUUCAUCUUCUCUACUCUCCCUCUGGGAGUUUAAACAAUAGAACACUGAUUGGAAGACAGAAACAAGAUGUUAGGAAACUCGGGAAACCUGGAGCAAACAGUUGCCUCUGAAAGGAUUUCACUGCUUUUGAGAGGUGACAGCGUGCUGGCAGUCCU